UAGGGAAUCUUCCGCAAUGGACGAAAGUCUGACGGAGCAACGCCGCGUGAGUGAAGAAGGAUUUCGGUUCGUAAAACUCUGUUGUUAGGGAAGAAAAAAUGUAUAGUAACUAUAUACAAAAGAGACGGUACCUAACCAGAAAGCCACGGCUAACUACGUGCCAGCAGCCGCGGUAAUACGUAGGUGGCAAGCGUUGUCCGGAAUUAUUGGGCGUAAAGCGCGCGCAGGUGGAUUAGAAAGUCUGAUGUGAAAGCCCACGGCUCAACCGUGGAGGGUCAUUGGAAACUAAUAAACUUGAGUGCAGGAGAGAAAAGUGGAAUUCCUAGUGUAGCGGUGAAAUGCGUAGAGAUUAGGAGGAACACCGGUGGCGAAAGCGGCUUUUUGGCCUGCAACUGACACUGAGGCGCGAAAGCGUGGGGAGCAAACAGG
rnacentral:rRNA from 1 species